UAAAAAAGAUUAUUAAAAUUUUUAUUUAAAUUUUAUUUAAAAUAAAAAAAUUAUAUUUUAUUAUAAGGUAAGAAAAAAGUUAAAUUAUGAUAGUUUAUUAGUAUUGUGAAAGAAAUUUAAUUUAUGUAUAAAAGAAAAAAUAAUAUUUUGUACCUUGUGUCUCAGGGUUUAUUAAAUAAAAUUUAAAACUUUAAUUUUCUCGAAUUUAAAAGAGUUAAUAGUAUAUAAAUUUUAUUGUAAAAUAAAUAUUUAUAAUAUAUUAUUAGUAAUGAAACGUUAAUCGUUUUUAAAUAUAUCUAGUUUUUAAAGAAAAAAAUUUAAUUUUUUUAUUAAUUUUUAUAAUAUUAUUUAUUUAAUAUUAUUAUAUUAAUAUAUUAAAUUUAAAGGGAUAAGCUUUUAAAUUGAUAUUAAAAUUUUAUAAAAAUAGUUUAAAUUGUAGGAUUAGAAAUUUUUAUCAUUAAUAAAAUGUUAUAAUUGAUUAAAUUAAAUUUUAUUAUUUAUAUAAAGUUUAAGUAUUUAUUUAAAUAUUGAUUGAAAUUUUUAAAGUUAAGAAAUAAUGAUAAAAUUAGUAUAAUUUUUUUUAUAUUUAAUGAAUUAAUUAAAGGUUUAGUAAAGGAAUUCGGCAAAUUAAUUUUUCACCUGUUUAUUAAAAACAUGGCUUAUUGAUAAUAAUUUUAGGUCUAACCUGCCCACUGAAGUUUUAAAUGGCCGCGGUAUUUUGACCGUGCAAAGGUAGCAUAAUCAUUAGUUUUUUAAUUGAAAGCUGGAAUGAAGGGUUGAAUGAGAAAAUUACUGUCUCUAUUAAAAUUUAUUUGAAUUUUAUAUUUAAGUGAAAAAGCUUAAAUUUUAUUUAAAGACGAGAAGACCCUAUAGAGUUUAAUAAAUUAAUUUUUAUUUUUUUUAUAGAAUUAAUAUUAUAUAGAAUAUAAUUUAUUUGGUUGGGGUGAUUUAAAAAUUUAUAUAACUUUUUAUAUUUAAAAUCAUUGAUUUAUGAUAAAAUGAUCCAUUUUUUAUGAUUAAAAGAAUAAAUUACCUUAGGGAUAACAGCGUUAUUUUUUUUGAGAGUUCAAAUCGAAAAAAAAGAUUGCGACCUCGAUGUUGGAUUAAAAUUAAUUUAUGGUGUAGAUGCUAUAAAUUUUAAGUCUGUUCGACUUUUAAAAUUUUACAUGAUCUGAGUUUAAACCGGUGUGAGCCAGGUUGGUUUCUAUCUUAAAUAGAAAAAUAUAUUUUAGUACGAAAGGACCAAAUAUUUGAUAAACUAUUUUAAUUUUGAAUAUUA
rnacentral:rRNA from 1 species